UCUUCUGCAACAGGGAGGAAAAUGGCCACCCGUAAAAGACAACUGCUGAGGGGAAAAUCGUGUUUUGUUGAUCUCCUGAUCAGAAAAGCAAUCCAUAUGGUGGUUAAAGGUUUGUCCAAGAUGAGGAUUCUCAAAUAUUACAUUCUAAGCACCUGCUUGAAAUAAUGAAUGUUCAAGAAAUGGACUAUGGAGAGGACAAUCUGCCUCUUAUUGAAGUAUUUCCUAAAAUUCCAGUCCAGCUAAUGCACUUUUUGGACAACUUUUUAUAGCUCAAGUGAGUGGAAUUCCAUCUUGAGGCCUUUUUCCUUGGAUUUGGAUCAAAAUUGUUUGAUUAACGACUAGAAUGUCAUGUUUGCUUUGCUAAGCAUGCUAUCUACGCAAUUUAUUCAAUGCUUGGGGUUAAAUUCUAGGCUGUUAAUGGUUGAAGUAGUUAAAUUUCAAACCAUGUAAGGUUUGUGAACCAUUAAAUGAAAACAUUGAAUUCUUGAAAGGGCUAUGAAAUCAAAAGGGUCUUACUCAGAAAGGAGAGGAAAACUUGUGAUAUUAAUCUACAUAUCAUCUGGCUUCAUGUAACUAUAGACCUUUAUUUUAAUGUAAAAAAAAAGCAAGGAAAGAAUGGUAGGUUGUAUAUUUCAUUUGCAACUGUUAAUAAUGUUGAAGAAUAUGGAGAAUAA